CUGGAAAGGAAGGUGUUCGAUUCUUCUGACCAACGGAGGCUGUGUUGACUUCUUGAUUCGGUGUGGCCUGACAUGUACAGUGCACCCCGUGCUGGUGGGUGGCUCAGGAUGGGGCACUUGCCAUGGGGGCCUACAGUCUGCUGGCAAGGAAGAUAGUUGAUUUUCCAAGCAGUGAAGGCCGCACGGAGUCCUGGAUUUGGUGUGACCUGGCAUCCACAGUGCACCUCGUGCUGGCGGACAGCUCAAAACGGGUCAGUUGCCUUGAGAGGAUCACCAGAUGCUGCCGCAACA